rnacentral:rRNA from 1 species
AGCAGUAGCCGCGGGAAUACGUAGGGUGCAAGCGUUAAUCGGAAUUACUGGGCGUAAAGCGUGCGCAGGCGGUUCGUUAAGACAGAUGUGAAAUCCCCGGGCUUAACCUGGGAACUGCAUUUGUGACUGGCGGGCUAGAGUAUGGCAGAGGGGGGUAGAAUUCCACGCGUAGCAGUGAAAUGCGUAGAGAUGUGGAGGAAUACCGAUGGCGAAGGCAGCCCCCUGGGCCAAUACUGACGCUCAUGCACGAAAGCGUGGGGAGCAAACAGGAUUAGAGACCCCUGUAGUCCCUGUCUCUUAUAC